UAGACCAUACUUUAAGGAUCUCUUAACAGUGUGCGACAAACUAUCAAGUCGAAAACUUGAAUCAUAUUUAAGUAAGGAUGAUGAAUUGAAAUCGCUUGACCUGAGCGUGAAACGGUUAGUAUGACAGAUGUUCAAUCUUCAUAGCUAACGAUGAUGAUCGCCAGGAAAUGAGUAGGGCUCACUUCCACCGGUCAUGCGAUAGGCAAACUUACU
rfam:Dictyostelium fasciculatum unplaced genomic scaffold Scf_Dfasci-F-a-25c12.r2-5, whole genome shotgun sequence.